rnacentral:tRNA from 1 species
GGUCUGUUAGCUCAGCUGGUAGAGCACUUCCCUGUCCAGGAUGAAGUCACGGGUUCGAUUCCCGUACAGGCCGCCA